rnacentral:lncRNA from 1 species
CUCUUCUUUGGCGACUACAAAACAACAGAACCAUCAGAACUCAAGACAUCCUGAUACAUUUACAGAGAAUUUUUAAUAAACAAGAUGAAAGACAUUACGAGGAAAAAAAAUUAGCACAGGAAAUUGACAUUUGGAAAACAACAAUUAAUGACAACACAAUAAAACUCAAAGUCUAAACAAAGCCCUUUUAAAUCAGAAAGAUAAAACCGUUGCCGUAGAGAAAAUCCAACGAACUGGGCUCUACGCUGGUAAGUGUUUGUAUUUUUGUCAUUGCUUUCCUAAAAGUAUUAUGUCAUGUAUAAUUAAUGAAAAAUGUGCCUUUGUUUGGUUCCUUUAUAAAUGAUAAUAUCACUGAAUUUGUAAUCCUUUGUGUAACUAAUUUGAUUUUUUUCUUAAAGAUCUCGCCGAAUUUUUAAAAGUAAAAUAGUUAUCAAAAGCUGUGAAAAUUGAUGGAAAUGUUCUGUAUGUACAUCAUAUGGUUGAUGUCUUCAAAACCCCAAUACGAUUAGUAUAUUUAUACUAUAUGUUUUAAAGAAAAAUAAGUUAUUUUAUUAGAUAGAAAAUACAGGUUGCUUUUAUAUUUGCACAUUACGUAAAUGCUCGUAUACACGUAAUGUAUACUCAUUUUCAAAAUUUAGCUUUAGAUUUGUGCUUUUAUUUUCAAACAGCUGAACGAAUAAACAAGACAGGUGAGAACCUCCAUCGCCAGAUAAGCAUUGCCAGAGACAUUCUUGAAAACUCAUCAAGGCUUAUGGAUUUAAAAGGUAAAUAUCUUUUUUAAAGAUCUGACGCCAUUAUGAUAUAAAAAAGAAGAUGGAGCAUGAUUGCCAAUGAGACAACUAUCCCAUACACAAGUGACCAAAUGACACAGAAAUUAACAACUAUUGGUCACCGUUUGGCCAUUAUCAAUGAGCAAGUCCAUAUCGCAUAGUCAGCUAUAAAAGGUACCGAAAUGACAAAUGUAAAACAAUUCAACCUGAAAACUAACGGCUUAAUUUAUGUGCAAAAUAAUGAACAAACAACAACAACUGGAUUACAGUGCUUUAACAGGACAACAUAAAAAUAUAUUAUAAACAUCAUGUGAAAAGGCUGAACUCACCUGAUGGAUACAAAUGGAAAUACAAAGUGGACGUGGAUGGGUACUUUUGUAUCCCCACAACAAAAAGACAUUAAGGAGUAUACUUAACCCUUAUAAUAAAUAUGUUGGUUUUUUUUCUUUAAAUUUGACGGUCAUGAACUGCAAUUAAAAUUUUACCAAGUAAAUAAAUUGUGGGUCUAGUUCAAAGAUUGAAGGAGAUCAAUACACAUAAACAGAGAACAAAACCAAAAAGAUUGAGCGACACAGCAUUUAAAGACAUAUAAAGUUUUCUUAUCUAGCACUACAUAUAAUUGUGUAUAAUGUAUGCCUUUUGUUAAUUACCAAUGAUAACAAUGUUACUUUACAUUUACUUUACUUUACUUUUUUACAGGAUUACCAAUGAACUGCAACAAUGGCAAUAGUCACGAACUAUGAACUUUGAACUAUGAACUAUUUUCUUGACUUUCUUUCUCUAUUUUCACUAACGUUCAUAUAUAGAAUAUUUUACUGAAUUUGCAAUUUGUUACUUGUAU